rnacentral:rRNA from 1 species
CGCCAGACUCCUACGGGAGGCAGCAGUGAGGGAUAUUGGGCAAUGGGGGAAACCCUGACCCAGCGACGCCGCGUGAGGGAAGACGGUCUUCGGAUUGUAAACCUCUGUCUUUGGGGACGAAAAAGGACGGUACCCAAGGAGGAAGCUCCGGCUAACUACGUGCCAGCAGCCGCGGUAAUGCGUAGGGGGCAAGCGUUAUCCGGAUUCACUGGGUGUAAAGGGAGCGUAGACGGCGACGCAAGUCUGGAGUGAAAGCCCGGGGCCCAACCCCGGGACUGCUCUGGAAACUGCGUCGCUGGAGUACGGGAGGGGCAGGCGGAAUUCCUGGUGUAGCGGUGAAAUGCGUAGAUAUCAGGAGGAACACCGGCGGCGAAGGCGGCCUGCUGGACCGUGACUGACGUUGAGGCUCGAGAGCGUGGGGAGCAAACAGGAUUAGAUACCCCAGUAC